UACAGAGGUCCCAAGCGUUGUUCGGAUUCACUGGGCGUAAAGGGUUCGUAGGUGGUGGGGUAAGUCGGAUGUGAAAUCUCCGGGCUCAACCCGGAAAUGGCAUUGGAAACUACCUUGCUGGAGGAUUUGAGGGGGGAUUGGAAUACUUGGUGUAGCAGUGAAAUGCGUAGAUAUCAAGUGGAACACCAGUGGCGAAGGCGGCUCACUGGGUCUUUUCUGACGCUGAGGGACGAAAGCUAGGGGAGCGAACGGG
rnacentral:rRNA from 1 species